UGCGCAGGCGGUUAUGUAAGACAGAGGUGAAAUCCCCGGGCUCAACCUGGGAACUGCAUUCAAAACUGACAAGCUAGAGUAUGGUAGAGGGUGGUGGAAUUUCCUGUGUAGCGGUGAAAUGCGUAGAUAUAGGAAGGAACACCAGUGGCGAAGGCGACCACCUGGACUGAUACUGACACUGAGGUGCGAAAGCGUGGGGAGCAAACAGGAUUAGAUACCCUCGUA
rnacentral:rRNA from 1 species